UCAAGCGAAUAAGUGCAUGUGGUGGAUGCCUUGGCGAUCACAGGCGAUGAAGGACGUAGUAGCUUGCGAAAAGCUGCGGGGAGCUGGCAAACGAGCUUUGAUCCGCAGAUGUCCGAAUGGGGAAACCCGGCCCGUAUGGGUCAUCCCUGACUGAAUACAUAGGUCAGGGAGGCGAACGCAGUGAACUGAAACAUCUAAGUAGCUGCAGGAAAAGAAAUCAACCGAGAUUCCCAAAGUAGUGGCGAACGAAAUGGGAUCAGCCUUGUACUCUUUAGCAGUAUUGUUAGCAAAACGGAAUGGAAAGUCCGGCCAUAGUGGGUGAUAGCCCCGUAUGCGAAAACAGUAUUGUGGAACUAAGUGUACGACAAGUAGGGCGGGACACGUGAAAUCCUGUCUGAAGAUGGGGGGACCAUCCUCCAAGGCUAAAUACUCGUGAUCGACCGAUAGUGAACCAGUACCGUGAGGGAAAGGCGAAAAGAACCCCGGGAGGGGAGUGAAAUAGAUCCUGAAACCGCAUGCAUACAAACAGUCGGAGCCUGGAAACGGGUGACGGCGUACCUUUUGUAUAAUGGGUCAGCGACUUACAUUCAGUGGCAAGCUUAACCGAUUAGGGAAGGCGUAGCGAAAGCGAGUCCGAAUAGGGCGUUCAGUCGCUGGGUGUAGACCCGAAACCAAGUGAUCUAUCCAUGGCCAGGUUGAAGGUGCGGUAACACGUACUGGAGGACCGAACCCACUAACGUUGAAAAGUUAGGGGAUGAGCUGUGGAUAGGGGUGAAAGGCUAAACAAACUUGGAAAUAGCUGGUUCUCUCCGAAAACUAUUUAGGUAGUGCCUCGUGUCUCACCUUCGGGGGUAGAGCACUGUCAUGGUUGGGGGGUCUAUUGCUGAUUACCCCGCCAUAGCAAACUCCGAAUACCGAAGAGUGCAAUCACGGGAGACAGACAUCGGGUGCUAACGUCCGGUGUCAAGAGGGAAACAACCCAGACCGCCAGCUAAGGUCCCUAAGAUUGGCUAAGUGGGAAACGAAGUGGGAAGGCUAAAACAGUCAGGAGGUUGGCUUAGAAGCAGCCACCCUUUAAAGAAAGCGUAAUAGCUCACUGAUCGAGUCGUCCUGCGCGGAAGAUGUAACGGGGCUAAGCCAGUCACCGAAGCUGCGGAUGCACGUAAGUGCAUGGUAGGAGAGCGUUCUGUAAGCCUGUGAAGGUGUCUUGUAAAGGAUGCUGGAGGUAUCAGAAGUGCGAAUGCUGACAUGAGUAGCGAUAAAGGGGGUGAAAGGCCCCCUCGCCGUAAGCCCAAGGUUUCCUACGCAACGUUCAUCGGCGUAGGGUGAGUCGGCCCCUAAGGCGAGGCAGAGAUGCGUAGCUGAUGGGAAGCAGGUUAAUAUUCCUGCACCGUCGUAUGAUGCGAUGGGGGGACGGAUCGCGGAAGGUUGUCCGGGUGUUGGAUGUCCCGGUCCCUGCAUUGGAGAUGGCACUUAGGCAAAUCCGGGUGCGUGAUUCAAGGGUGUGGGGCGAGCGACUUUAGGUCGCGAAGCAAUUGGAAGUGGUUCCAAGAAAAGCCUCUAAGCUUCAGUCAUACGAGACCGUACCGCAAACCGACACAGGUGGGCGAGAUGAGUAUUCUAAGGCGCUUGAGAGAACUCGGGAGAAGGAACUCGGCAAAUUGGUACCGUAACUUCGGGAUAAGGUACGCCCUUGUAGUUUGACUGGCUCGCGCCAGAAGGACGAAGGGGUUGCAAUAAAAUGGUGGCUGCGACUGUUUAAUAAAAACACAGCACUCUGCAAACACGAAAGUGGACGUAUAGGGUGUGACGCCUGCCCGGUGCCGGAAGAUUAAAUGAUGGGGUGCAAGCUCUUGAUUGAAGUCCCGGUAAACGGCGGCCGUAACUAUAACGGUCCUAAGGUAGCGAAAUUCCUUGUC
rnacentral:rRNA from 1 species